rnacentral:rRNA from 1 species
GAUGAACGCUGGCGGCGUGCUUAACACAUGCAAGUCGAACGGUAAGGCCCUUCGGGGUACACGAGUGGCGAACGGGUGAGUAACACGUGGGUGAUCUGCCCUGCACUUCGGGAUAAGCCUGGGAAACUGGGUCUAAUACCGGAUAGGACCCUGGGAUGCAUGUCCUGGGGUGGAAAGCUUUUGCGGUGUGGGAUGGGCCCGCGGCCUAUCAGCUUGUUGGUGGGGUGAUGGCCUACCAAGGCGACGACGGGUAGCCGGCCUGAGAGGGUGACCGGCCACACUGGGACUGAGAUACGGCCCAGACUCCUACGGGAGGCAGCAGUGGGGAAUAUUGCACAAUGGGCGCAAGCCUGAUGCAGCGACGCCGCGUGAGGGAUGAUGGCCUUCGGGUUGUAAACCUCUUUCAGCACCGACGAAGCGCAAGUGACGGUAGGUGCAGAAGAAGGACCGGCCAACUACGUGCCAGCAGCCGCAGUAA